AUUGAACGCUGGCGGCAGGCCUAACACAUGCAAGUCGAGCGGAGCGUCGGACGGGUGAGUACUGCCUAGGAAUCUGCCGGGUAGUGGGGGAUAACGCCAGGAGACGAGCGCUAAUACCGCAUACUAUCAGAUGAGCUUAUGUCUGAUUGGCUGGUUGGUGGGGUAAAGGCCUACCAAGGUGACGAUCCGUAACGGUACUGAGAGGAUGAUCAGUCACAGUGUACUGGAGACACGGUCCAGAAUCCUACGGGAGGCAGCAGUAGGGAAUAUUGGACAAUGGGCGAAAGCCUGAUCCAGCCAUGCCGCGUGUGUGAAGAAGGUCUUCGGAUUGUAAAGCACUUUAGGUUGCGAGGCGUUACCAACCGAAUAAGCACCGGCUAACUUCGUGCCAGCCGCCGCGGUAAUAC
rnacentral:rRNA from 1 species